rnacentral:tRNA from 1 species
CGUCGUGCUGGAGCCCGGCGACCUCGUCGUGGUCGACAACCACGUGGCGGCGCACGGCCGCAGCGCGUUCGUCCCGCGGUACGACGGCC